rnacentral:rRNA from 1 species
AUUGAACGCUGGCGGCAGGCUUAACACAUGCAAGUCGAGCGAGCGGCGGACGGGUGAGUAAUGUCUGGGAAACUGCCUGAUGGAGGGGGAUCACUACUGGAAACGGUAGCUAAUACCGCAUACCAUCAGAUGUGCCCAGAUGGGAUUAGCGAGUAGGAUGGGUAAUGGCUCACCUAGGCGACGAUCCCUAGCUGGUCUGAGAGGAUGACCAGCCACACGGGAACUGAGACCCGGUCCUGACUCAGACGUGAGGCAGCAGUGGGGAAUAUUGCACAAGGGGCGCAAGCCGGAUGCAGCCAGGCCGCGUGUGUGAAGAGGGCCUUCGGGUUGUAAAGCACUUUCAGCGAGGAGGCGUUACUCGCAGAAGAAGCACCGGCUAACUCCGGGCCAACAGCCGCGGUAAUUC